rnacentral:rRNA from 1 species
UGGGAACGUGCCUUUUGGUUCGGAACAACCCAGGGAAACUUGGGGUAAUACCGGAUAAGCCCUUCGGGGGAAAGAUUUAUCGCCAUUGGAUGGGCCCGCGUCGGAUUAGCUAGUUGGUGAGGUAACGGCUCACCAAGGCAACGAUCCGUAGCUGGUCUGAGAGGAUGAUCAGCCACACUGGGACUGAGACACGGCCCAGACUCCUACGGGAGGCAG